AAAUUGAAGAGUUUGAUCAUGGCUCAGAUUGAACGCUGGCGGCAGGCCUAACACAUGCAAGUCGAACGGUAACAGAAAGAAGCUUGCUUCUUUGCUGACGAGUGGCGGACGGGUGAGUAAUGUCUGGGAAACUGCCUGAUGGAGGGGGAUAACUACUGGAAACGGUAGCUAAUACCGCAUAACGUCGCAAGACCAAAGAGGGGGAC
rnacentral:rRNA from 1 species